UGGGGAAUUUUGGACAAUGGGCGAAAGCCUGAUCCAGCCAUGCCGCGUGAGUGAAGAAGGCCUUCGGGUUGUAAAGCUCUUUCAGACGGAAAGAAAACUUCUGGGCUAAUACCCUGGGAGGAUGACGGUACCGUAAGAAGAAGCACCGGCUAACUACGUGCCAGCAGCCGCGGUAAUACGUAGGGUGCGAGCGUUAAUCGGAAUUACUGGGCGUAAAGCGUGCGCAGGCGGUUUUGUAAGACAGAGGUGAAAUCCCCGGGCUCAACCUGGGAACUGCCUUUGUGACUGCAAGGCUGGAGUGCGGCAGAGGGGGAUGGAAUUCCGCGUGUAGCAGUGAAAUGCGUAGAUAUGCGGAGGAACACCGAUGGCGAAGGCAGCCCCCUGGACAAAGACUGACGCUCAGGUGCGAAAGCGUGGGGAGCAAACA
rnacentral:rRNA from 1 species